rnacentral:rRNA from 1 species
AGGAUAAACGCUGGCGGCGUGCCUAACACAUGCAAGUCGAACGCCCUACGCAAGUAGGGAGUGGCAGACGGGUGAGUAACGCGUGGUCAACCUACCGUUGAGUGGGGGAUAACUAGCCGAAAGGUUAGCUAAUACCGCAUACGUCUCCGAGGGGCAUCCCUUGGCGAUAAAAGGAGCAAUCCGCUCGAUGACGGGACCGCGUCCCAUUAGCUAGAUGGUGGGGUAACGGCCUACCAUGGCACCGAUGGGUAGCUGGUUUGAGAGAGCGACCAGCCACACUGGGACUGAGAAACGGCCCAGACUCCUACGGGAGGCAGCAGUGAGGAAUUUUCCGCAAUGGGCGCAAGCCUGACGGAGCGACGCCGCGUGUGGGAAGAAGGCCUUCGGGGUCGUAAACCACUGUCGAAGGGGACGAUAAUGACGGUACCCUUGGAGGAAGCCCCGGCUAACUACGUGCCAGCAGCCGC